GGUGCUCAGAAAGCAUGCGUCCCUUAGAGUCCCACAGAAAGGUUCUCAGUGCGCUCUCUAUCAAGAGGCUCUAGGAAGGAUUCAUGUUGUAACUGCUGUCACUGCAAUCAGUUGGUGGUUCAGCCUUGAAACGUGCACUUGGCCUUCUAUAAAGCGCUGUUUUGUUUGCCUUUCAUUGCUAUGAGUCUUGAUAAAUUGGAGAAGAGCCCAAGAGAAAUUUUUCAUCCCUUGAUAUAAAAGGGAUCGGUGAAUUUUAACUUUGGAGUCCUCUAUGCUAAGGAUGCUCAGCUUACAGAUGAUGAAAUGUUCAGUAAUGGUGAGUUUUUCACGUUCUCUUUAAUUGCUGUGCUGAUCUGAAUAAGAAAAAAACAAAAGCAAGAGGGAAAAAAAAGGAUGGUUUAUUAUUUUUUACGCUGUUAUGUUUGUUUCCUCAGUAUUUGCUGCAGCUCUGCUUACCCAAGCUUUGUGUUCCUUCUGUCCCACUGGGAGUUGCCCAGUUUGGUUGCAUCUGGUGAAAUUCACCCUGAGACCUUACACAACUAGCUCAAACUACGUGAGAGCCAUUUGCAGUUCUCUCCAGACACCUGGAGAAUGGGUGACGUUUCUGAGGGUCUGGCAAGUGUACUUCUAUCAAAACUCAGUCUGUGAAGUUUCUGGGGAAAACCCUUCUGUGUCCUGAAGGGUUCAAACUCCUGUGAGGAUCCAUUUAUCAGGUGCUCACCUGGAUGGUUCCAGCUCUUAAAGUGAACACUUGUACUC